rnacentral:rRNA from 1 species
CAGCUGUAACCGAUGCGCGUUAGGUGUAUCGGUGACCACGAGUCACCGAGGUGCCGAAGAGAAAUCGUGAAACGUGCCGCCUGGGAAGUACGGUCGCAAGGCUGAAACUUAAAGGAAUUGGCGGGGGAGCACCACAACAGGUGGAGCCUGCGGUUUAAUCGGACUCAACGCCGGGAAGCUCACCGGAUAAGACAGCUGAAUGAUAGUCGGGUUGAAGACUCUGCUUGACUAGCUGAGAGGUGGUGCAUGGCGUGUGACUGU